UACGUAGGGUGCAAGCGUUUGUCCGGAAUUAUUGGGCGUAAAGAGCUCGUAGGCGGUUUGUCGCGUCUGCCGUGAAAAGUCCGGGGGCUCAACUCCGGAUCUGCGGUGGGUACGGGGCAGACUAGAGUGAUGUAGGGGGAGACUGGAAUUCCUGGUGUAGCGGUGAAAUGCGCAGAUAUCAGGAGGAACACCGGUGGCGAAGGCGGGUCUCUGGGCCGUAACUGACGCUGAGGAGCGAAAGCGUGGGGAGCGAACAGG
rnacentral:rRNA from 1 species